AAGGAGCCAUGGCUGUGGGGGUGAGGGGGGCCAAGGUGGCAAGGUGAAGUGGUUCGGGCUUGACAAGGGCUCCGGGGCUGGCAGAGAGACUGACCUGGGGUGCAUUUAACACCCCAGGAAUCGGACCUGGGCUCUUCCCUGGAGCCGCCUUAUGGGCCAGAGUCUAGGGCAGGAAAGAGGAGGCAUGAGUUACCCCUACCCAUAUCUGCCCCUUCUCCUGACCUUGUGCAACCCCACAGGAAGUGCUGUGGGCAGGGGAGUUGGCACAGGUUGGGCAGUCUUGCCUAUCACCUCCACCUUCCACCCCCUGCCCUGUGGCCUUAGCCUUGGCCUGUUGAUUCGGUCCCCUUGACUUCCUUAGAGCCGGGAGGUCUUGCACCAAUGUAAGGAGAAACCGAUUGGGGAUUUCAAAGUCCCACAUUGUUGGGGAGCGGAGGGGGGGCAUCUGUGUGAAACCUCCUCAUGUAUCCACCCCAUGCUCCUUGGGUUCACACUGCCCACCGCAAGGGAGGGCUCGCCCACCCACAGUGGACACGCCACCCACAGUGGACAUACCGCAGGCCCCACAGUAGAGGCCCAAGACCCUGACCAAGGAGGAAUGUCAACUUCCCACUUCCUGCUAACCCCUUUGCUGUUCUCGACCCCUGUCCUCGCCAUGAAUGAUUGAGGUCCUGGCCAGUGGCCAGCACUGUCUGGACAGGAGGAAACCAGGAUGUGAGGACUGGCGGUGGUGGCAGCAGGAGUAGUAACACAGAACACUGAGUCCUCAAGAGCAAAAUUCCACCGGAAAGAAAACAAUACAUGGGAGACAGAGUCACACUCCAGAGAACAAGGGGGCAAGGAAAGGGACAGGGCCUUCCUGCCCUGAGCAGGUAAACAACUUCCAGUCUGGGGAAGCCCCAACAUGAACUGUCUUCCAGGGUAUCUGCGCUCCUCAGCUGCCCUGCCACGGAGAGAUGGUCCAACACCUGCUCUUGGCCCCCACCCGUUGAAUCCUGCCCAGCCCAGAUCACUGGCCGCACCAAUGUCCUCGGAAGAUUUCUGCCUUCCCUCUCAGACCUCCGCCCCUCUGGAAUUCUAUCUCUAUAGCAUGUAUAAGAAUGACAGGGCUUUAUAGAUACAGAAAUAAGAAGAUUACGAUGGCGGGAGAGCUAGCCCCACCCAAAUUAUAUUACCUCUAAACUAUCAAAAGAUCGGGCCACGCCUGCCAUCUUGAACUUUUCCUAAGAGCCUAUGGUUAUCAGUCCUUUGUUGGCAGUCUGGUUCUCUGCUGGAUUUUAGGAACAGCACUCUUAGCAAGCGAGCCAUUGGUCCCCUCUGCUCCUAUA
rnacentral:lncRNA from 1 species